CAAAGCGGCCGAUGGUAGAUUCCUCGCAUAGAGUUCGGCCCAGCAACCCCAACACUGCAGCUGUGUGUGAACCAUUCUCCGAUUCCAGUACAGUACUGACUCACUGAACCUCCUCAAGAAACCCACUCUCAAAUCUCUCUCUCUCUCUCUCUCUCUCGCUCGCUCGCUCUCUCUCUGAACUCCAUUGUUGUAACCUGCAAGAUUGUAUUGAGAAUUGAAUGCGGGAAGGAAUCCAUGUAGCGAACAACAUCUAGUUCUGAGUUUUUGUUUGAAUUUUUGGAGUCCUAACUUGCAAUUCUACAAAAAUUACGAUUAUUUAAUCAUUCAAGUCUGAACUUGGAGUUUCUUUCUUCUAUGGGAUGGACUUUUUCCAUUGAAAGGGUAUGAUGAGGUCUGUCUAUUGUUGUUUUGGUCCUUAACUGGAUGAAGUAUACAACAGAAUCAGAAGGUCAAGAUCCUUCAGUUUCAAUUAUCCACAUUGGUAAAUUACUGAGACUGAUAUUUUUUCAUAGAUUUGUAAUCAUUUUAUUGCAUAAUUUUGCUUCAAAUAACGGUAAUGCUUCUCAUGCCAGUGCAAUUGGUUUGCCAUUAUUUCUGGAAAUUCCAUUCAAAAAAUGUUUCUUAUAUUUGAAAAAAGAAAUUGUUAAUCAACCAGCUUGUUUCUAGAUCCAAAUUUUUCCUGUAAUAUGAUUAUGUCAAUUGCUAGUUACUGCUAUAAUCUAAUAACCAUAACUCAAAAUAUGAGAAGGAUAUAAAAAGGAUGAAAUUAUAUGUUACCUGAUGGGAAGUUGAAAUUCACUUAUUGAAAAAUGCUAUCAAAAUUUUGCUGGUGGUUAUGUGGAGGCCUGCCAGUUAUUAACAUAACUGCCAAAUGGCUUUUGCAUAAGGUAUUCUGUUUUGAAGUCUCUUAAAUUAGAAGCAUACUGGUUGGACUUCUCUUGAACUCCUUUUACCCAUGUGUGUUUUGUUCUCUGGUUUUAAAUAGGUAUAUGUUUUAGCAAAGAAAAAAAUGCAUUCUUUAUGCACUGGUUCUUAUUAUUGUCCAACUCUUCAAUUAGAGGUGGAGUUGGAGAAGUUGAGUGCCUUGGAUUAAAUGCUUUGUUUAAGUAUUGAAGAGAAACCAAUCACAGCAUAAAAAAAUUACUUUCUUUGUUGAGGCCAAAGUUGCUUCUGCAUAAUAUAAUUGGGAUGUAACUUGUAUCCUGAUGAUUGACUUGACUCUUUCAUUUUUUACAUCAUUUUGGUUGUUCAACUGAUUUAUCGAUUUAUUUUAUUUAAGUUCUUAUUUCCAGUUCAUAUCCAAUUGCAGCAGAAUGGUGUAAUUACUGGCUAAAUAAAGAGGUCAACCAUUUUUGGUGAGAGUAUUGUUUAUUACUAGCUACAAAAGGUGUUUACCUUUAAUUGUUGUUAUGCCAUUUCAAGAAGAGGUUAAAAGUAAUUCUUUUAGAUGUGUAUUCCUCUUUAAUUAUACCAUUACUAGCUAAAUCUAUUAGUAGAUACAGACAAGGUAUUUCCUUUAAAUUAAUUGUGUGUCAUUUCCAUUGGAGGUUAAAACUAUUAUUUUUUAAUGUUUUACACCAUUCUAGAUAUCGGUACAAAGUGUAUCACUCAUUUUGUAUUUGCAUUUAAGUUAUAAUAGAGUAGAACAAACGUUCAAGAAAAAUGAGAAAAAAAAAAUUCUCAAAAAAAAGGAGGCCUUGUUUGCUGUUGACAGUAAGUAUUAUAUAUUGCUAGGCUUAUUUAGUGGACCCCAGUCCAUAGCUAAAAAUAUACAUGUAACAGGAGAAACUAAAUAGAAUGCAAAGAGAGAGAUUAGAGAAGGAAGCAUAUUUUUUGCACGGCAAUGGAGACGUGUCUAAUUUGGGGUUACGUGUUUGAUUGAGGGAAAGGGAAUCUACGCUGUGGAGUUUUAUUUAGCUUUUUGCUAAUUGUAUCACUUCUUUUUCUGAGAUUGAUGAUGGAAUGUGUCUUGGUGGUUUGUUACAAUCAUUCUGCUGGUGAUUCAUUUCUCAAAGUCUUUCUGUUAAGGCCACAAAAACCAUUCGUCAAAAUGGUUCGCAUUUUUCUCAACGUUUACUACCGUAGAUGGAAAAGAUGGCUUUCUCGCUUUGUUGCAAGAUGUGAGCGAUUAAUUCAAAAUCUCUGGUUACAUCGUGAUUUUUUGGUCGAGUUUUCUAUGAUUACGUUCAUGCUUUGGUACUAUUCAGUAGUGUUUUACCUUCAAAGUGUGAAAGUAGUUUUUGUAUCUUACCAGUGAAUUUUGCUUUGGUUUAUAUAUAUGUACGUAUUUCAUCUGGAUCCUUGUUGAUAUUUUCUGCUAGAACAAUGCAUCUGGAAUCUGCAUUCCAGUACGAGUAUGUUUUUCUUCGUCAAUGAAACAAAUGUGAAGCUGUUGUAAUGUUAUAAUAUCAUAAUGUGAAGCUGUUGAUUUUUGAUUCAUGUUCGAAGCUGCGACUGCUGAAAGAAAUGGCAAGCAACCUUUUUCUUUUGCAAGAAAUAAGGCUAAAUCUGCAAGGGAGAAAAAGAGUACACCCUAUAGAUACAGGGGAAAGAAACCCAGCUGUGGUGCAGUGGGGACUACUGUCUUACCGCCUUGAUUGUGCAAGAGGUGGUUAAUAAGGCAGCCAACUGACAAGAAUUGAAGCCUUUAAAUUGUAUUUGGCUAGUCUUUAUUAAAGAAAUUGAGAUGAGGACAGGCCCUUCUUGCUAACCCUGUCAGGAACAUGAGGUUGAUAGUUGUCCUUUUUGUUUAACAACAAAAACAACCCCGGUACAUUUGAAUUUGUGAGGAUAUUAUCUAUCAGGCACAUCAUGCCAAAUGAAUUUAAUAUAGAAAUUGAUUAAGAUUUGGACUACA